GAUGAACGCUGGCGGCGUGCCUAAUACAUGCAAGUCGAGCGAACAGACGAGGAGCUUGCUCCUCUGACGUUAGCGGCGGACGGGUGAGUAACACGUGGAUAACCUACCUAUAAGACUGGGAUAACUUCGGGAAACCGGAGCUAAUACCGGAUAAUAUAUUGAACCGCAUGGUUCAAUAGUGAAAGACGGUUUUGCUGUCACUUCUAGAUGGAUCCGCGCCGCAUUAGCUAGUUGGUACGGUAACGGCUUACCAAGGCAACGAUGCGUAGCCGACCUGAUAGGGGGAUCGGCCACACUGGAACUGAGACACGGCCCUGGCUCCGACGGGAGGCAGAAGUAGGGAAUCUACCGCGAUGGGCGAAAGCCUGACGGAGCAACGCCGCGUGAGUGAUGAAGGUCUUCGGAUCGGAAAACUCUGUUAUUAGGGAAGAACAAAUGUGUAAGUAACGAUGCACGUCGUGACGGUACCUAAUCAGAAAGCCACGGCUAACUACGUG
rnacentral:rRNA from 1 species